GGGGAAUAUUGCACAAUGGGGGAAACCCUGAUGCAGCGACGCCGCGUGGAGGAAGAAGGUCUUCGGAUUGUAAACUCCUGUUGUUGAGGAAGAUAAUGACGGUACUCAACAAGGAAGUGACGGCUAACUACGUGCCAGCAGCCGCGGUAAAACGUAGGUCACAAGCGUUGUCCGGAAUUACUGGGUGUAAAGGGAGCGCAGGCGGGCGAUCAAGUUGGAAGUGAAAUCCAUGGGCUCAACCCAUGAACUGCUUUCAAAACUGGUCGUCUUGAGUAGUGCAGAGGUAGGCGGAAUUCCCGGUGUAGCGGUGGAAUGCGUAGAUAUCGGGAGGAACACCAGUGGCGAAGGCGGCCUACUGGGCACCAACUGACGCUGAGGCUCGAAAGUGUGGGUAGCAAACAGGAUUAGAUACCCUGGUAGUCCACACCGUAAACGAUGAUUACUAGGUGUUGGGAGAUUGACCCUCUCAGUGCCGCAGUUAACACAAUAAGUAAUCCACCUGGGGAGUACGACCGCAAGGUUGAAACUCAAAGGAAUUGACGGGGGCCCGCACAAGCAGUGGAGUAUGUGGUUUAAUUCGACGCAACGCGAAGAACCUUACCAAGUCUUGACAUCCUCUGACGAACGUAGAAAUACGUUUUCUCUUCGGAGCAGAGAGACAGGUGGUGCAUGGUUGUCGUCAGCUCGUGUCGUGAGAUGUUGGGUUAAGUCCCGCAACGAGCGCAACCCUUAUGGUCAGUUACUACGCAAGAGGACUCUGGCCAGACUGCCGUUGACAAAACGGAGGAAGGUGGGGAUGACGUCAAAUCAUCAUGCCCUUUAUGACUUGGGCUACACACGUACUACAAUGGCGUUAAACAAAGAGAAGCAAGACCGCGAGGUGGAGCAAAACUCAGAAACAACGUCCCAGUUCGGACUGCAGGCUGCAACUCGCCUGCACGAAGUCGGAAUUGCUAGUAAUCGCAGAUCAGAAUGCUGCGGUGAAUACGUUCCCG
rnacentral:rRNA from 1 species